rnacentral:lncRNA from 1 species
GAGAGAGAGAGAACACUAGCUUUAGAAGAGCAAGAGGCACAGACUAACAAACCGAAGGACCUGACCAUGGAUUAUUCAAGGACUCACCUGCUGGGGAGCGCUCUGGGGUCUCCGCACAAAACCUGCUUUUGAGCCCUUUGGCUUUCUUCAGGCGAGCGCAGUCCGUCCAUCCCCCUGGCCCACCCAGCCGCAAGGGAUGCUGUGAAAAGAGCCGCUGCUUGCCGCCUCCGGCCUGCCGUCCAGAGGGCUCCGCCCGUAGAGGCUUAUAUGGAGUAAAAUAAUGUAGAAUGCUGCAUCACCUCAGCGCCGUGAAUUUAGAAGUUCCAGCAUGUUGUGAAGCAGACACAUCUUUGCUAUGAACACUGUGACUCACUACAUCAGUGCUGGUAUAAUAAAAUGCUUCUAAUGAUGUAGCUGUUAAAUUUUCUAAAAUAAAGAUCAGUUUAUUUUGUGAUGGCACAAUGAAAGAGGUGUUUAAUUUUUUACUAGAUUUUAAAAUAAAGCUUAUAAAAAUAUUAAGUUAAAAUUAAAAAAUAUGAUUUUAUAAUUUGUUUUGUGUGUGUGAGGGGGGGCUAACUCUUGAUUACAUGUUAAAUCAACUUAAAUAUUUAACCAAGCUUGUCAAGUUCCAUAUAAGAUCAGUAUGUUUGUCUUCUGAACCCUGGUUUUGCACAGCAAGCAUUAGCAAUUCUUAAGAAAUUAAAUGAAGAAAAGAAUACUGUUAUGAUUCCUAAUAAUAACUGUUAUGUUAUGUUAUGUUAUGUUAUGUUAUGUUAUGUUAUUUUUAUAAACAUUCCUUUGGAAAUGUGAAAUAUUUAUCUUACAUAAUUUAAAUUUCUUCUUAAAUAAAUUCAUAUCUAUCUCAGGAAAUUAAAAA